rnacentral:rRNA from 1 species
GGCCUUGCGCUCUUUGAGCGGCCGAUGUCAGAUUAGCUUGGUGAGGUAAAGGCUUACCAAGGCGACGAUCUGUAGCGGGUCUGAGAGGAUGAUCCGCCACACUGGAACUGAGACACGGUCCAGACUCCUACGGGAGGCAGCAGUGGGGAAUUUUGGACAAUGGGGGCAACCCUGAUCCAGCCAUGCCGCGUGAGUGAAGAAGGCCUUCGGGUUGUAAAGCUCUUUCGGCCGGGAAGAAAUCGCAUGGGCCAAUACCCUGUGUGGAUGACGGUACCGGAAUAAGAAGCACCGGCUAACUACGUGCCAGCAGCCGCGGUAAUACGUAGGGUGCGAGCGUUAAUCGGAAUUACUGGGCGUAAAGCGUGCGCAGGCGGUUUUGUAAGACAGGCGUGAAAUCCCCGGGCUCAACCUGGGAACUGCGUUUGUGACUGCAAGGCUAGAGUACGGCAGAGGGGGGUGGAAUUCCACGUGUAGCAGUGAAAUGCGUAGAGAUGUGGAGGAACACCAAUGGCGAAGGCAGCCCCCUGGGUCGAUACUGACGCUCAUGCACGAAAGCGUGGGUAGCAAACAGGAUUAGAUACCCUGGUAGUCCACGCCCUAAACUAUGUCAACUAGGUGUUGGGUGGGUAAAACCAUUUAGUACCGUAGCUAACGCGUGAAGUUGACCGCCUGGGGAGUACGGCCGCAAGGUUAAAACUCAAAGGAAUUGACGGGGACCCGCACAAGCGGUGGAUGAUGUGGAUUAAUUCGAUGCAACGCGAAAAACCUUACCUACCCUUGACAUGCCAGGAACUUGCCAGAGAUGGCUUGGUGCCCGAAAGGGAGCCUGGACACAGGUGCUGCAUGGCUGUCGUCAGCUCGUGUCGUGAGAUGUUGGGUUAAGUCCCGCAACGAGCGCAACCCUUGUCGUUAAUUGCCAUCAUUUAGUUGGGCACUUUAACGAGACUGCCGGUGACAAACCGGAGGAAGGUGGGGAUGACGUCAAGUCCUCAUGGCCCUUAUGGGUAGGGCUUCACACGUCAUACAAUGGUCGGUACAAAGGGUUGCCAAGCCGCGAGGCGGAGCCAAUCCCAGAAAGCCGAUCGUAGUCCGGAUUGCAGGCUGCAACUCGCUUGCAUGAAGUCGGAAUCGCUAGUAAUCGUGGAUCAGCAUGUCACGGUGAAUACGUUCCCGGGUCUUGUACACACCGCCCGUCACACCAUGGGAGCGGGUUCCGCCAGAAGUAGGUAGCCUAACCGCAAGGGGGGCGCUUACCACGGCGGGGUUCGUGACUGGGGUGAAGUCGUAACAAGGUA